rnacentral:rRNA from 1 species
GUUUGAUCAUGGCUCAGAUUGAACGCUGGCGGGAUGCUUUACACAUGCAAGUCGAACGGCAGCACGGACUUCGGUCUGGUGGCGAAGUGGCGAACAAGGAGUGAGUAAUGUAUCGGAACGUGCCUAGUAGCGGGGAGUAACUACGCGAAAGCGCUAAUACCAUACGCCCUUCGGGGAAAGCGGGGGACCUUCGGGCCUCGCACUAUUAGAGCAGCCGAUAUCGGAUUAGCUAGUUGGUGGGGUAACGGCUCACCAGGCGGCGAUCCGUAGCUGGUUUGAGAGGACGACCAGCCACACUGGGACUGAGACACGGCCCAGACUCCUACGGGAGAGCGGCAGUGAAAUUUUGGACAAUGGAAGCCUGAUCCAGCCAUCCCGCGUGUGCGAUGAAGGCCUUCGGGUUGUAAAGCACUUUGGCAGGAAAGAAACGGCACGGGAUAAUACCCCGUGCAACUGACAGUACCUGCAGAAUAAGCACCGGCUAACUACGUGCCAGCAGCCGCGGUAAUACGUAAGGAAUUUGACGUUAAUCGGAAUUACUGGGCGUAAAGCGUGCGCAGGCGGUUCCGGAAGAAAGAUGUGAAAUCCCAGAGCUUAACUUUGGAACUGCAUUUUUAACUACCGAGCUAGAGUGUGUCAGAGGAAGUGGAAUUCCGCAAUAACCAGCAGUGAAAUGCGUAGAUAUACGGAGGAACACCGAUGGCGAAGGCAGCCUCCUGGGAUAACACUGACGCUCAUGCACGAAAGCGUGGGGAGCAAACGGGAUUAGAUACCCUGGUAGUCCACGCCUAAACGAUGUCAACUAGCUGUUGGGGCCUUCGGGCCUUGGUAGCGCAGCUAACGCGUGAAGUUGACCGCCUGGGGAAAUACCGGUCGCAAGAUUAAAACUCAAAGGAAUUGACGGGGACCCACACCAAGCGGUGGAUGAUGUGGAUUAAUUCGAUGCAACGCGAAAAACCUUACCUACCCUUGACAUGUCUGGAAUCCCGAAAGAGAUUUGGGGAGUGCUCGCAAGAGAACCGGAACACAGGUGCUGCAUGGCUGUCGUCAGCUCGUGUCACGUGAGAUGUUGGGUUAAGUCCCGCAACGAGCGCAACCCUUGUCAUUAGUUGCUACGAAAGGGCACUCUAAUGAGACUGCACCGGUGACAAACCGGAGGAAGGUGGGGAUGACGUCAAGUCUCAUGGCCCUUAUGGGUAGGGCUUCACACGUCAUACAAUGGUCGGGACAGAGGGGUCGCCAACCCGCGAGAAGGAGCCAAUCCCAGAAACCCGAUCGUAGUCCGGAUCGCAGUCUGCAACUCGACUGCGUGAAGUCGGAAUCGCUAGUAAUCGCGGAUCAGCAUGUCGCGGUGAAUACGUUCCCGGAGUCUUGUACACACCGCCCGUCACACCAUGGGAGUGGGUUUACCGAAGUAGUUAGCCUAACCGUAAGGAGGGCGAUUACCACGGUAGGAUUCAUGACUGGGGUGAAGUCGUAACAAGGUAG